rnacentral:rRNA from 1 species
AGUGAACGCUGGCGGUAGGCCUAACACAUGCAAGUCGAACGGCAGCACAGUAAGAGCUUGCUCUUACGGGUGGCGAGUGGCGGACGGGUGAGGAAUACAUCGGCAUCUACUUUUUCGUGGGGGAUAACGUAGGGAAACUUACGCUAAUACCGCAUACGACCUACGGGUGAAAGCAGGGGAUCUUCGGACCUUUCGCGAUUGAAUGAGCCGAUGUCGGAUUAGCUAGUUGGCGGGGUAAAGGCCCACCAAGGCGACGAUCCGUAGCUGGUCUGAGAGGAUGAUCAGCCACACUGGAACUGAGACACGGUCCAGACUCCUACGGGAGGCAGCAGUGGGGAAUAUUGGACAAUGGGCGCAAGCCUGAUCCAGCCAUACCGCGUGAGUGAAGAAGGCCUUCGGGUUGUAAAGCCCUUUUGUUGGGAAAGAAAAGCAGCAGGUUAAUACCCCGCUGUUCUGACGGUACCCAAAGAGUAAGCACCGGCUAACUUCGUG